GAGUUUGAUCGUGGCUCAGAUUGAACGCUGGCGGCAUGCCUUACACAUGCAAGUCGAGCGGCAGCGCGGGGGCAACCCUGGCGGCGAGCGGCGAACGGGUGAGUAAUACAUCGGAACGUGUCCUUUCGUGGGGGAUAACCAGUCGAAAGACUGGCUAAUACCGCAUGAGAUCUCACGAUGAAAGCGAGGGACCGCAAGGCCUCGCGCGAUUGGAGCGGCCGAUGUCGGAUUAGCUAGUUGGCGGGGUAAUGGCCCACCAAGGCGACGAUCCGUAGCUGGUUUGAGAGAACGACCAGCCACACUGGGACUGAGACACGGCCCAGACUCCUACGGGAGGCAGCAGUGGGGAAUUUUGGACAAUGGGGGCAACCCUGAUCCAGCCAUGCCGCGUGUGUGAAGAAGGCC
rnacentral:rRNA from 1 species